GUAUUCUGAUUUGUUUUGAAAACAUAUAAAGCUUUUGCCUUUUACUAAAGAUUUCCGUGGAAACGAUCAGUAAGAGUUUAGUGUCUAUUUUUUGUUUGCCCUGCAUUUGUAGGGUG